UCACAAGAGNCCGGUCAUUGAAAUGGGCCCAAUUUAACCCCUUUNAACGAGUUUUUAUGAGAGGGCAAGUCUGGGGCCAGCACCCGCGGUAAUUCCAGUUCUCAAAAUGCAUAGAAUUAUUGCUGCGGUAAAAAGCUCGUAGUUGGAUUUGUGCUGCCCUCCCGGUCCACUUUCGGGGUGCGCACUGGAGAGGUUGGCUUUGCUGUCGUUUACGCGNAUGUUCCUAACGGGGCAACCGCAUCGCGACAAUUUUACCUUGAACAAAUCAGAGUGCUCAAAACAGGCGUUUCGCUUGAAUGUUCGUGCAUGGAAUAAUAGAAGAGGAUUUCGGUUCUAUUUUAUUGGUUUUAUAGACUGAGAUAAUGGUUAACAGAGACAAACGGGGGCAUUCGUAUUGCUGCGUGAGAGGUGAAAUUCUUGGACCGUAGCAAGACGGACUACAGCGAAAGCAUUUGCCAAGAAUGUCUUCAUUAAUCAAGAACGAAAGUCAGAGGUUCGAAGGCGAUCAGAUACCGCCCUAGUUCUGACCGUAAACGAUGCCAACUAGCGAUCUGCCGGUGGAAUUCUUGCCCUGGUAGGGAGCUUCCCGGAAACGAAAGUCUUCCGGUUCCGGGGGAAGUAUGGUUGCAAAGCUGAAACUUAAAGGAAUUGACGGAAGGGCACCACCAGGAGUGGAGCCUGCGGCUUAAUUUGACUAAGGGC
rnacentral:rRNA from 1 species